UACGUACUCCCUCCGUUCGGAAUUACUUGUCGUAGAAAUGGGUGUAUCUAGACAUUUUUCAGUUCUAGAUACAUCCAUUUAUGCGACAAGUAAUUCGGGAUGGAGGGAGUACUAU
rfam:Triticum aestivum genome assembly, contig: Triticum_aestivum_CS42_TGACv1_scaffold_221268_3B